rnacentral:lncRNA from 1 species
GCAGGGCUGCUCUCUCAGAAGCACCAGGGAGGAUCCAUCCUGCCUCUUCCAGCUCCCAGGGGCUCCAGGGGUUCCUUGGCUGGUGACGGCACCACACCAUCCUCUGCCUUCUGUGCACACAGGCUUCUCCUCAACUCUCUCUUCCACUUAUAAAAGGGUCUUGCUCUAUCACCCAGGCUGGAGUGCAGUGGUGCGAUCUCAGCUCACUGCAACCUCCACCUCCUGGGCUCACACAAUCCUCCCUCCUCAGCAUCUGGAGUAGCUGGGACUACAGGUCAGUCCUCUGGGCUCCAUCUAUAAAACAAAUGUUUGUCAUCCUCUGGGUACCAUAGCACAUCUAACAAACAGAGGCAGGCAAUUCCUGGAGGUUCUUGAGUCUGUUCACCAGAACCAGGGCCCCAGCGGCAGAGGCCUCCCAGGAGGUCCACAUCGUGUAAGACACGAACUCAGGUCUUUUCAUCUCAUCCAUCGACAGCCCAGAACAGAGUUAAUUUUGCCCAUUGUACAAAGGGUAAAACCCAAAUUCAGAGAAAUUGACUGGCCUGCCCAGCUGGGAGGAGUCUGAGCUGGCUUCCGUUCACACGUGUCUCACUGAGAACACCAACCCACACCCUGACUGAAGGGCUGGUCCAAGCCUACUUGUUGGGUGUUUGCUCACUGCCCUCCUUCUCCCUGUCCGCUCUUCCCUUCGUGGACAGAAGCCAGAGUUCAGAGAGGAUCCCCAGGGACACACAGCCAGGCAAGGAGGGAGUUCACCCCAACUGCUGCCUUCUGUCCAGGGCCUCUCUGCCCCAACCCCACAGCCCGCCACCUUCAUGUAGCCAGGACUGUGGGUAACGCACUAAACACGUGAUUAGCAUUUAUUAUGGCUUCAUUUCAUAGACACAGGACAAUGAACAGAGCCAUAAACAGGGAGAACAACAAUGGAAUCAAGAAAAUAUGGCACUUUAAAGAAUAGUUUAUGAGUUGAACAAAAGGAAAACUCUAGUCUUCCACUCUGGGAUAUUGAGUAGUGCUCCUAGGGCUCUUUGGACUAUAAAGCAUUAUUGAACUGUUCCUGCAAUGCAAAGUGUACAAGAUGGUCAUAAUUAAGAACAAUUGAUUCAAUCUUUUUGCUAAACCUCAGGGUAAGAAUAUAAACUAGUCAUAAUGGAAAAAUGCCAGAUCCAAGGUGACCUGAGCCAAGAUGAUCAUUGCAAGAAUACAGGAACCAUUGCAGUGGAGGUGACACACACAGCAUGGAGUGACAAUACUCAACCAUCACAGCGGAGGUGUCACAGCAUGGAGUGACAAUACACAACCAUUACAGCAGAGGUGACACACACAAUGGAGUGACGGCACGUGCACAACCAUCACAGUGGAGGUGACGCACACAGCAUGGAGUGACAAUACUCACACAACCAUUACAGCAGAGGUGACACACACACAAUGGAGUGACGGCACGUGCACAACCAUCACAGUGGAGGUGACGCACACAGCACGUUAGAAGACCUCCAGGUGCCGGUCGCUGGGCUCACAUCUGAUCUAAUGAAGAGCAAAGCAGACACAAGUCGCUGCCCAGGUUGUUUUGCCACCUAGAGAGGGGUGGACUCUAACCACAAAAGUCACACCUGUGAUUCAAAGACACCUGUGUCAGGCUGCACCCACGAGCAGUGUCAGGUGCGGCUGCUGUGGGGGCAGGUGCCAGGUAAUCUGCCUCCAGAGCUAGUGUCAACUGUGUCUGGGUUCAGUGGACGAGCAGAUUCAAACCAGGCUAUGGAAACCACCAAACAACAUGGUGCCUGGAAACAGAAGGGUGUGUUCAGCCGAGGGGCGUCUGCCCUGGAGCUCCCCAGACCCUCAGGAGCUGACUCUCUGGUAAGUCACAACAGGGACUCAGAACUCGCUGUGGGGCUAAACCUCGUGCCUGCCUUUCACAGGAUGACAAGGCCACCUCCACCCACUCACCCACUGUCCCUCACAGGGCCACCACAGAGCAAGAUGACCGUGCCUUCGGCCCUCUGUCCACUGGCCAGGGCCAGCAUGAAUGGAGGUGAGGCCACAGGGGGCAAGCUUCUUAGGACACCAAGUGCUGAGAAAAUGACUCGCUGAAGACUGUUAGGAAAGAGGAUCUCUAGAGUCUGGGAGAAAGCACAGGAAGCCACUGUGGCGGGGGCCAGCCGUGGGCCAGGCCGCAGUGUACUGAGACAUGGCUAACAACUGGCUCCUGUGGUGAGGGGUGGACGGUCGUGCAGUCAUCCCCAAUAGUCCUGGUACAAUUGCUCUCACCAUGGCCAAUUCCCAGCUACAAAUGUCACAUCAACUGUUGCAGGAUUCCGGGAUAUUUAACAACAGGCUCUCUGGAGCGGUACUAGCCGGCCCCAGCACUGCACCCUCCCAGGACUCUGGCUUCUGAGGAAGCCUGGUCCACAGAAAUCUACAGUUGUAAUGGAACCUCAAAGCAGGUCCCUCCGCGUGGUAGGGUCCGGUCACUGCAGUCAGCUUGCUGCAGGCCUACAGGAGUUCUGAGCCCCAAAGUGUCCACCCCACCAGUAGGAAUCAAGCCUUCCUCCAAACACUUGGUUUAUCACAUUGCAUAGGAAGCACCUGAUAGGUUCAAGAUCUGUGUUCAACCAGAAAGCCACACACUCAAGCUGAACUCAUGCUCCCAGGAGCCCCCAGAGGCCAGGACAUGCCCUCCCCACAGUCUGGGGGACAGGAGAAAGUGCACGCGUGCUGGAACGUCAAGCACCACAUGGCACAGGGAGGGGAGAAGGGGGCCAGGGAAUGUGGGGCUUGGCCCUGGCCCAGAUCUUAGAUAAUGGGCAGGCACCCGGCAGGGAAGACAAAGCAGAAAGGGCAUUUCUAGGUGAAUGAGAAGCUGAGCAGGCAAAGAUAUGACGGGGGGUCCCAGCAAGCGAGAAUGAAACUGUAGAUUAGUGUGUGGAGCCCCAAACAGGCACGUAGGCAUGUGGGUGGCCUCGCACACUGGAGACCCUGGUGCCAGAAGAGGCAACUGCCAUCGAUGGGGCCCUGCUGUGAGCCACGUGCCAGGCCUUGUGGCUGCACACACCAUCCCACACACCCUCAGGGUUUACUGAGACAUCCUCCCGGUGUCCCCAGAAAAGGCCCAGGAGGCCAGGAGGUGGAGCUCUCGGGGGACAGAGCCAGGGCUCGUGGGCCUGUGGAGCACCUGGGAAGCCCUGAGGAGGACGUGGGGGCUGCAAGUGGAAAGCUUCUGUGGGAGCACAAAUCCUUGCCGAGCUCAGUGGAGCCGGGCUGUGAAUGUCACCUGUGGGUGGGUGUGUUCCCUGACACAGCCAGCCGCUCUCACAGCUGUCGCCUUGACCUGAAGUCCCCCCAGUUCCUCACCUGCUGCCAGGCUGAGCCUCAAGGACUCUUGUGAGACCUGGUGUCAUGGGGCAGAAGGCACGUAACCAUAACCUCCAGAUGCAUCAUGGAUGCCGAACGCACGUCGAUUGAUUGAGCAAAUAACUGCUGCGGCCACAAAGUACCAGAGAAGGAUGGGACUGUGCCUAGAUUUUCUGAAACAGAUCUAAAUUUUGCCAGGUGGCCAAGGUAGGCAGCAGUGGGGCUGUGGCAGGAAAGGCCAUCCUCGCCACCCAGACCCCACCGGCCUCACGUUCUGUUGUCGAAAGACACCUGCCUGCUUUGCGACUCCAUCUCCACUGAAACGGUCUCUGCAGUCAUUUGCAGGGAUCGGUCCAUUUCCCGUGAGCACCUACUUUAUUCCUCUCCCCAGAAACAUGAGGCCCAGCCCUGAACAAUCUUGCCACUUAUGUCACCCCACUGGUAUCUUCACCUUUAACAUACAUGCAGGAAAAAGACAGCCAGCAUGGAACACAGUUCAGCAGGGCCAGAGGAGCAGUGGCCUCAUCCCAGGACAUGCUGGGCAGGCACCACAGCGCUGGCGUCCCCAUGUCCAGGACAAAGCUGAGUGCAAGUGUCACCGUGAGGUGGCCUGUGUGAGCCCGGCCCGCUGACCCCCCCAGAUGAUAGAGAGCAGGAGACGCCUCUCAGCCAGGACUCAGACCACCAGCACGCAGCACCCAGCACCCACAGCUGAGCAUGUGCCCUCGAGUAGAGAGGAGACCUUGGUAUGGAGGGGACAAUGAUGUGACAGCCACCAAGUCCAUGGUCUGACCCCCCAGCAGCAGGGGUGCCAGCCUCAUUGUGGAGUCUUGCAGCAUGUGGGGAAAUGAUUUUAUUUUCCUAAUCACUGCUAACAGUUGGGCGCUAAUAAGCCCCCAGUUCGGGUUCCAUUGGUGACAUUUCAGUUUAUACAUCACUGUCAUUUGGGGUGAAUAAGUCCAAGCCACUUAAACCUCAGGCUCACAUUGAUUAGAGACUUCCCCCCAGGUCCCAA